rnacentral:lncRNA from 1 species
UGAAAAGACCAGGUGUGGCCGUAUCGCCCCUGGCAUAGAGUAUGAAAGACCAGGGUGGCCGUAUCGCCCCUGGCAUAGAGUUAUGUGAAGUCCAGGCGUGGCCGUAUCGCCCCUGGCAUAGAGCAUUGUUGGACUUGUUAUGAGAUGAGAUCUAGAUGUAGAGGGCUAAUGGUGACGAAUUCAUCCUUGAUGUGUAUUGUUUGUGA